rnacentral:rRNA from 1 species
UACGUAGGUGGCAAGCGUUGUCCGGAUUUACUGGGCGUAAAGAGCGCGCAGGCGGUCGUUCAAGUCGCGUGUGAAAGCCCCCGGCUCAACUGGGGAGGGUCACGCGAUACUGAUCGACUCGAAGGCAGGAGAGGGUAGUGGAAUUCCCGGUGUAGUGGUGAAAUGCGUAGAUAUCGGGAGGAACACCAGUGGCGAAGGCGGCCAUCUGGACAGAUACUGACGCUGAGACGCGAAAGCGUGGGGAGCAA